GCCGAAGUGGUGAAAUUGGUAGACACGCAACGUUCAGGGCGUUGUGCUCGCAAGGGCAUGGGGGUUCGAGUCCCCCCUUCGGCA
rnacentral:tRNA from 2 species